rnacentral:ncRNA from 1 species
AAAGUGAAGGUUGUGUCUGGUAGGAAGAAAUCUCCAUGGAGAAAUGCACAAACAGUUCAAUCUGCAAGACAACUCUGGGCCUGAGUCCUCCUGAUCGAGGCUCAUCCCGUGGACGGUGUGAGGCCGGUAAUGGCCCCCGUCACGCCGGGGUCCAGUCUUCUCGGAGUCGGGUUGCUUGGGAAUGCAGCCCAAAGUGGGUGGUAAACUCCAUCUAAGGCUAAAUACCGGCACGAGACCGAUAGUCGACAAGUCCAGCGCGG